GGGGGGGGGUGGAGCUCCAUAAAGACUGAACAGAGAGAGAGCGAGAGGGGGAGAGAGGGAGUGUCAGCAGGUAGAACAGGUUUGGGCGAGGCGGGCGAGCAAGCUUCACACAGAGAGAAAAGGAGAGAGAGAGAGAAAACCAGAUUUGAUUGUUUGUUCAGUUUGUGAGUUUAAAGUCAGACGGUGGAGGAGCAGAGAAGAGAGAGAGCUCAGCUCCGAGGGUCGACCAGGACGAACGAGAGGAGAAAAAAGAAAGAAGAAGAGGAGGAGAAAAAGAAGAGGAGAAGAAGAGGAGAAGGAGAGUGAAAGACAGGUGAGCUCAGGUGAGACAGAGUCUAUGUCUCUAACUCUCUAACUGAAGGUAAAUCUGUGUAAACUGAUCUGUGCUGACUCUGGGAUUCAGACACACACUGUCCACAGGGGGGCGCUGCAUAAAGGCAGGGAGGGGCUGCGGUCUCACAGUGAACUUUGUGUGAACAAUAGCUGCGUCCGAAUUGCCAAGUAGUAGUCGAAGUAGUAGUCGAAGUAGUAUCUAGCAUGUCCGAAUUGGCCACCGGAGCGAGUAGCAUGCUACUUCAGAUACUACUUCAAAUACUAGACACGCCCAUAUUGUAGGUUGGUCUCGGUGCAUCCUACGGGCAUGCUACUGACCCAAAAUGCACCGCGGGCUUCUUCUUCGUCCUCUUAAAAGUUGUAGUAGCGCAUGUGAUGCUAGCGCCACCAGCUGCUCUGCCUAUUUAAAUGUGUCGCGAACGCCGGCUGGCCACAGCAGCGCGCACCAUGUCGGAGCAGCAGCAGCAGCAGCAGAAGGCGGGACCGCAGCAGUACAGAUGUAAGUUUCAUGUAACUUCACACACUGUCCUAAAAAAAUGUGCGGUUGUAUCUCUUUGUCAUGUCAUGGUGUCAUAUUUGCCCAAGUAAUCAUUUUAUGAGCAAAUAUGUGGCGACAUCAUGGAGGUAAAGCUCACUUAUUCCAUCAUUAAACUGCAUAGCUGCAGUACUACAGCCAGGCCCGCAGAUGAGGGGCUUCAGUUACCACUGUCUGCACGGGCGCAGUACCUACUCUCUGCCUGCGGGGGUCGUCUUUCCCCACCGCUCGUCUAGUGUGUCCGAAUUGGGCCAACGUGUUUUGUAUGUAGGAGUAGGAUCUAGCAGUAGUAUGUAGCAGUAGCAUGUAGUAUCCGAGCGGGCAAUUCGGACGCAGCAAGUGUCACUGGACCCUACACACCAUAGCUGUGUCCGAAUUGCCAAGUAGUAGUCGAAGUAGUAGUCGAAGUAGUAUCUAGCAUGUCCAAAUUGGCCACCGGAGUGAGUAGCAUGCUACUUCAGAUACUACUUCAGAUACUAGACACGCCCACAUUGUAGGUUGGUCUCGGUGCAUCCUACGGGCAUGCUACUGACCCAAAAUGCACCGCGGGCUUCUUCUUUGUCCUCUUAAAAGUUGUAGAAGCGCAUGUGAUGCUAGCGCCACCAGCUGCUCUGCCUAUUUAAAUGUGUCGCGAAUGCCGGCUGGCCACAGCAGCGCGCACCAUGGCGGAGCAGCAGCAGCAGCAGCAGCAGGGGGCAGGACCGCAGCAGUGCAGAUGUAAUUUUAAUGUAACUUCACACACUAUCCUAAAAAAAUGUGAGGUUGUAUCUCUUCGUCAUGUCAUGGUGUCAUAUUUGCCCAAGUAAUCAUUUUAUGAGCAAACAUGUGGCAACAUCAUGGAGGUAAAGCUCACUUAUUCCAUCAUUAAACUGCACAGCUACAGUAAUCAGGCAGAUCUCAUUGAACAAUCGAUCACCACGUGAGUGAAUGAAGGCUAAAAGUCAUGGAAAAGCUACUUUGUGAAUUUCUAAAGCAGUGCAGGAAUAUAAUACAGCAGCAUCUAUCACUUGCACAAUUACCAUUCAGUCUAAAACGGGCGCAGUACCUACUCUCUGCCUGCGGGGGUCGUCUUUCCCCACCGCUCUUCUAGUGUGUCCGAAUUGGGCCAACGUGUUUAGUAUGUAGGAGUAGGAUCUAGCAGUAGCAUGUAGCAGUAGCAUGUAGUAUGCGAGCAGGCAAUUCAGACACAGCACAUAUCAGUAAGAACCGGAUGGGAGGAGUGGGCGCGGCCAAUGACAUCAUACAUGAGAUCAGGAGUGUGUUGAUAUCAGCUCCAACAUCAUAUAUAUAUAUAAAUAUAUAUAUAUAUGUGUGUGUGUGUGUCAGUCUUUAUGUAUUUAUGUCAAUAUCAGUUUGUUUAAUAUUUAACAGUUAGUUUAAUAUUUAUGUAUAUUAAUGUCCAAGGUUUCUAUAUGCAUACGUCCAUACAUGUUUCUUAAUGUUAAUACAUGUUUAUAUCAGUCAGCAUAAAUUUACAUGUUUAUAUGUGUUUCAAUGUGUUUAUAUUUGCAUUUGCAAGUUUACAUGUUUAUAUAACUUCAAAAUUUUAAUGUUUUUUGAUAAAUGUUUUAUAUGUUGAUGUUUAUCUCCCUCUUUCACUCUCUGUCUUCCUGCCCCCCCCCCCCCCCCCUCUCUCUCUCUGUCGCUCGACCUCCACAGAGCUCUCUCACUGUCACUUCCUGCCGUGUUCUGAUUGGACUGUUUCAUCUUUGGCCCCACCCCUUGUGACAGAUCGUGAUGUCAAACAUUAACGUGUCUCUGGAAAACCCCUACGGGGAGGUGCAGAUCCCCCGGGCUAAGCUCCGCCCCUCUGAUGAUGCCAUGGUGAUCGCCAAUCCGAUGACUCUAAACAGUGACAAUGGGAACCCGUACGGCGUAUCAAGCUCCGCCCCUCCACCAUAUAUGGUGAAGGAAGCAGGGGGGGAGGGGGAGGAGGGGGGGAGGUGUCGGGUGUGCUGCUACCGCUGUAGGAGGAGGAAGUGAUAUCACUGCGGCGGGAGGAAUGUGAUUGGCUCAGACUUAUUUAUUUACUGCUGAUGAAUUUCCUUCGCUCUGAGGGAACAGUGAAGGAAACAACAAGUGAAGGAAACGAGGAGGCAACGAGGGAAGGAGGAAGUGAGAAAAAAGGAUAAAGCAAAUCACAAAAGGAAAGGAGAGAAGGAGAAGAAACAAAGGCAGGACACAACAAGUCAAUGAAAAAGCAAAAAAAAAAAAACUGAGUUAAAAUCUUUUCAAAUGACAAAACACCAUCUUAGCGAGGUCAUGUGACCUGAUCUGGGUUAGGAGGGUCAGUAGAGAGCUGUUACCAAUCAAAUCCAUUAAAGAGUUCGUAAUGUAAACGCAUGUUUUUGAGGAGAUUAAAGCUCCCCAUGGUCAUGAGAGGGGAGUUUUAAUAAUGUUAAUAUUUUUAUAUAAACAUUGUUAAACAUUUAUCGGAUCAUUAAAACUCUGACUGAACGCCAUGUUCAUGUUUUUUUUAUAAACAAUAAAAAUGCGUCACGUACAGAUUCUGAUCCAAAUUCGCUCAUUAGGAAAGAGUUUGUAUUCCAAUGUAGAGGGGGGGGGGGUUAUGCUGAUCAUUAUUCUGAAUUGCGUCCAUGUAAACGCUUUUUCCGAUCAUGACUCUCUGUUGGGGCAAAGCUAAACUGACUGCACAUGUGACCCAGACGCUAACUUGACGCAUUUCCGCCAUUAAUGACGAAACGUAAAGAUGGUGGGAUCCAGGAGCGACUGUCUGUCUGACAGAACUUUGUUAAAGUCCAGCCUCCUCAUGUGACGCAGGAUCAGGAUGUGCUGCUGGACCUGCCUGAUAAGCAUGAACUGGGCUCAGGUUGUUCUAAGUGAUGGGGAAACUCCUGAACCGAAUGACGUAAGCCUCGACUGCGUUUGUUGGUUUGUUGGCAGGACAGGCGUAAAUACAACUCUUUUUCUUCUUCUUCCUUUUCUUCUUCUGUGGUUGUUUUAGCAAAGUUUGAGAACUCUUCACGUGUCCAAAUGUUUCUAAUCUGAAUUAAACUUGGUGCUCGUAAACGAGCGUCAUGAUCGAAUCGUUGGGUUUCACGCCCAUUUUCACGGUGGAUUCGGAUUUUACGAUCCUUCAAAAUUUUAAUCGGAUUAAGAAAUUUCACAGAUGUAAACAUGGCUGAUGUGUAAAGGGGAGGUGUCGUCUCUUAAUGACCUCCAGAAAGCAGAGGGAGGGUCGGCGCUGACAGGAAGUCCUUCUUCUGUGAGGGUAACCAUGAGGUCUGACGCAGAGUGGAGGGGGAGGAGUCAGCUGGAACAGACGGUCAAGGGUUUUUUAUGAUUGGAUAUCCGACUGUCUAAAAACACGUUUGUUUUUUUUUCGAUCACUCGCUCAUCUUCAGGAUGAAAUAAGAGUUCUCACUUUGUCCACAGGGGGGCGCCAAACUGACGAUCAAAGGUCGUCACAGGAGCUUUAAUGAAUCGAAUCAGACACUGAGUCUGUUAUUAUGAUUGAUAUGAACUGAUAUUAUGAAUGAGUGAACGAAGAUGAAGGAGUUAAUCUGAAAAUUGCUGUGAUACUUGAUUAAAUCUGUACUCACUGUGAUAAAAGUCUUCAAGUCUGUUUGUUUGGGUUUUUCAACAUUAUUUAUGUAAAGUUAUGACAAUAUUAAUAAUUUAUGAAUGAAUAAUCUGAUCUGUUUUUGUUCCACAUGGUGACGCCUGUCAGGAGGAGUUUGUAUUUUACAUAAAGUAUUUUUAUAUUUUCAUAACCAGGACUGGAGUUUGAAGGAGAUUUAAUAAGAGACUUUAAAUAAAAACAGUAAAUCAACAUGAACCUGCUUGAACGGAAUUAUCUUCAAAAUUAAG